AGAGUAUGAUACCGGCUCAGGACGAACGCUGGCGGCGUGGAUUAGGCAUGCAAGUCGAACGAGAAUCUUAACUUCGGUUAUGAAGAGAGUGGCGAAAGGGUGAGUAACGCGUAGGUAAUUUGCCCUUGAGACAGGAAUAACAUCCCGAAAGGGUUGCUAAUACCUGAUAACAUCUAUUAACCCUCGGGUUUUUGGAUCAAAUGAAGGCUCUGCUUUCGCUCAAGGAGAAACCUGCGUCCUAUUAGCUUGUUGGUGGGGUAAUGGCCUACCAAGGCGAUGAUGGGUAGCUGGUCUGAGAGGAUGGUCAGCCACAUUGGGACUGAGACACUGCCCAAACUCCUACGGGAGGCUGCAGUCGAGAAUAUUUCGCAAUGGGGGAAACCCUGACGAUGCGACGCCGCGUGGGGGAUGAAGGUCUUCGGAUUGUAAACUCCUGUUCUACAAGAAGAACGAGCAGUUAGUGAUAAGCUAACUGCUGUGACUGUAUUGUAGCAGCAAGCCCCAGCUAACUACGUGCCAGCAGCUGCGGUAAUACGUAGGGGGCAAGCGUUGUCCGGAAUUACUGGGCGUAAAGCGCACGCAGGCGGCCAUAUAAGUCGGGUAUGAAAUUGCUUGGCUUAACCAAGCAACUGUAUUCGAUACUGUGUGGCUUGAGUACGAGAGGGGAAAGUGGAAUGUACAGUGUAGCGGUGAAAUGCGUAGAGAUUGUACAGAACACCGGUAGCGAAGGCAGCUUUCUGGCUCGAUACUGACGCUGAGGUGCGAAAGUCUGGGUAGCGAACGGGAUUAGAUACCCCGGUAGUCCAGACCGUAAACGAUGGGUACUAAGUGUAGGGGAUACGACUCUUCUGUGCUGUAGCUAACGCAUUAAGUACCCCGCCUGGGGAGUACGGCCGCAAGGUUAAAACUCAAGGUAAUUGACGGGGGGCCGCACAAGCGGUGGAGCAUGUCGCUUAAUUCGAAGCAACGCGAA
rnacentral:rRNA from 1 species